AAGCUACUAACCUGGCUUUUUGCACAGUGAUGGACUUCAUUUCAUUUCAAUUUAUUGAUCCUCUUUUUUACUAGAAAGCUACUAGCCUGGCUUGAUUAAAUUUAAUUCAUUUCAAUGGACUUCUCAUAUCAUUUUGUGUGCAGGAAGUUGCUUGCGUGCACAAUAAUCAAAUGAAAACAAUUAGUUUGUACUCAUUUCGUGAACUUAGCUCUGCCAUCUUUGCAUUUGGAGGAUUUCAUUUGCCUUCUUUCCCAUGUAAAUUCUAAACUUUGCUCACUACUCUUUCUUUUCAGCAAAAAUCUGGAAUAAUGGAGAAGAAGAAUAAGAUAGUAGAAGAGUGACAGAUUGCUGCAACCACUUAGCUCACGAGAUGACCAUCUAUCUGCACUUGUCUUUCCCUUUGUCCUGCUAAUUUAGUAUCAGGUACUGAAAAUUCUCGUAUUUGGUUGAGAUCUAAACUAGGCAUAAGGUAGUGGAAAUGGAUC